AUUGAACGCUGGCGGCAUGCCUUACACAUGCAAGUCGAACGGCAGCACGGGAGCAAUCCUGGUGGCGAGUGGCGAACGGGUGAGUAAAGUAUCGGAACGUGCCCAGUCGUGGGGGGUAACGUAGCGAAAGUUACGCUAAUACCGCAUACGAUCUAUGGAUGAAAGCGGGGGAUCGCAAGACCUCGCGCGAUUGGAGCGGCCGAUAUCAGAUUAGGUAGUUGGGGGGGUAAAGGCCCACCGAGCCGACGAUCUGUAGCUGGUCUGAGAGGACGACCAGCCACACUGGGACUGAGACACGGCCCAGACUCCUACGGGAGGCAGCAGUGGGGAAUUUUGGACAAUGGGCGAAAGCCUGAUCCAGCCAUGCCGCGUGCAGGAUGAAGGCCUUCGGGUUGUAAACUGCUUUUGUACGGAACGAAAAGGACUGCCCUAAUACGGUGGUCCCAUGACGGUACCGUAAGAAUAAGCACCGGCUAACUACGUGCCAGCCGCCGCCGUAA
rnacentral:rRNA from 1 species